GUGAAUAUGGUUCCUUAGGUCCUAUAUGAUGCCCCCGAAUAAUUUUAGUCUAUCGGGGUCCGGGGGCUCGGACCCACUCGGAAGGCAUGGGUUAUAGCACACGAAAAAAUAAGAAUCGGGCGGAAUUCUAGUUUUUUUGCCGUAAAUUGCAAAACAACGAGGAACGACCACGGCGGGGCGGUGAGUAUGGUUCCUUAGGUCGUGUUUGAUGGCUCGGAGAAAGUUUAGGCGAUCGAGUUCCGGGGGUCCCGGUCCCACUCGGAAGGCGUAGGCUAUAACAUACGAAUAUAUGGGAAUCGGGCGAAAUUCUAAUUUUUUGACCGUAAAACGCAAAACAACGAGGUACGGCUGUGGAGGGGCGGUGACUAUGGUUCCUUAGGUCGUAUUUGAUGGCCUAAAAUAAUUUUAGGCGAUCGAGGUCCGGGGGCCCGGACCCACUAGGAAGGCGUGGGCUAUAGCGCACGAAUAUAUGGGAAUCGGGCGGAAUUCUAGUUUUUUGGCCGU
rnacentral:lncRNA from 1 species